rnacentral:lncRNA from 1 species
UAACAUGCAUUAAUAGGUCCUUAUAGAUUAACCUAUCACCUUUUAAAAGUGCCACACAUAAGUCCUCUUAAUUAAAUUCACAUACAAUCGACUAAAUCGAAGCUUAAAACUUUCACACAUUCAUAUUCACAUAUUUUAGACAAUAAAUAUCAUAUUCAAAUACUUCGGUGACUCGGUUUAGCGGUCCCGAAACCACUUUCCGACUAGGG